GACGAACGCUGGCGGCGUGCUUAACACAUGCAAGUCGGACGGAAAGGCCCUGCUUUUGUGGGGUGCUCGAGUGGCGAACGGGUGAGUAACACGUGAGUAACCUGCCCUUGACUUUGGGAUAACUUCAGGAAACUGGGGCUAAUACCGGAUAGGAGCUCCUGCUGCAUGGUGGGGGUUGGAAAGUUUCGGCGGUUGGGGAUGGACUCGCGGCUUAUCGGCUUGUUGGUGGGGUAGUGGCUUACCAAGGCUUUGACGGGUAGCCGGCCUGAGAGGGUGACCGGCCACAUUGGGACUGAGAUACGGCCCAGACUCCUACGGGAGGCAGCAGUGGGGAAUAUUGCACAAUGGGCGGAAGCCUGAUGCAGCAACGCCGCGUGCGGGAUGACGGCCUUCGGGUUGUAAACCGCUUUCGCCUGUGACGAAGCGUGAGUGACGGUAAUGGGUAAAGAAGCACCGGCUAACUACGUG
rnacentral:rRNA from 1 species